GCAGGUCCAGACUCAGCCUAAUGGGUUUCUGACAGGCCUGCGAGAGUGGACUAGGGGCUUGGCCUCUUGCCAGCGACAGUACAGUGCUGGAAGUGAGCACCCAUAACCUCAGCCCAUUUAGGUGGAACUGCAACAGAAGGGCGGGAAAGCUGCCUGCAGUGUUGACCAGGUUUGGUUAAAAUACACUAUCAGGCUUCUCUCAAAAAACAGCAAAAUAGGUGACGAUUUUGUUGUCAUUGGACUUGGUGAAACUGGAAUCCUGGCAGGAUCACCAUCUUUUGAUGGGAUGCAAGAUUUUGUAGUUUACACCAUACUUGGACCAGCUGGGUUUCUUCCAUAGGACAACCGCACAUUAUAGGUGUCCUCCGAUUUUCUUAACAGGAUGAGCAGGGGCCAUGUCUGUCUUGCUCAUUACUGUAUCCUCCCCUGUACCUGACGCUCAGACGUUCAAAGAUUUUUGACUGGAUAAAUCAAAUUGUAUGGAUGGGGAGUUGAGACUUAAAAUGAUAUCUUUUGACACAGAGGCAGAGGCUCUUUUCAAUUCCAUUCAAUCUCCCAGAAUCAGAGCCUGUUAAAACCCAGGAAAGGGCCCUCCGAGGCCAUCCAGUCCAUUCCCCUCACUUCACAGAGAAGCUGUGAGCUGGACGCUUCACAAAACACAUCUCCUAGCCUUCAACCCAGUUUUAAUAUGGCGUCAUUCAUCCAUUGCAUCACCUAUGGAGUGUCCACCGUGCUUCUUCCUGGCUUGCCGUCCCACCUGCCCUUCAGCUUGUAAACCCAUCUGCUCUGAGAGGGUUGCCUGGACAGUUUGAAUGGACUCCUGGGUUCCAGAGUCAGCAUAUUUGUAUUUGAAUCCCAGUUUGCAUGACCUUAGGUAAGUCAUUCAUCUCCUCUGAACCUGAAUUUCGUCACCUGGAAAAGAGGAACAGUAAAAUAGCUCACAGGGCUCCUGAGACCCCAGCAAUGGAAUGUUAGUGCUGCACUGGGUACCUAGUGCUGCCUGGAGAAGUCAGGACUCUUUUGGUUUUACGUGACAGAUGCUAAUUUAAAAAAUCUUCUUUUAUGGUUGAAUCAGGAUCCAAAGAAAGCCCAAAUAUGACAGUUGAUUGACAUUUUUAAAGACUUACUGUUUUCCUUCCUUUUCUUUUAAUGCCAUUUAUUUGUUGAAACCAAGUAAUUUGUCCUAUAAAAUUUUCACACAUUUCUAGAUCCACACAUUUUCACAUU
rnacentral:lncRNA from 12 species